CCGCUGGUGGCGCAGUUGGUAGCGCAGUGGACUGUAAUAUCGGAUCUUCAAUGAUCGUGCAUGGCAUCCAAAGGUCACCAGUUCGAUCCUGGUUCGGCGGA